rnacentral:rRNA from 1 species
UCUCCUUUCUCUAAUCAGUGAAACUAAUCUCCCCGUGAAGAAGCGAGGAUAACACUAUAAGACGAGAAGACCCCAUGGAGCUUUAAACCCAAUUAUAUCCCUAACCCCUAUAACCAUUUAACCUCUUAGGCCCUAUAUACUUGGUUUUAGGUUGGGGCGACCACGGAGUAAAACCAAACCUCCAUGAUGUACGGAACAACCUCCUUAUCUAAGAGCCACAGCUCUAAGAAUUAGCACACUAUCAUAAAAUGACCCAUUAUUGAUCAACGAACCAAGUUACCCUGGGGAUAACAGCGCAAUCCAUUUUAA